AUACACACACACACACACACACAUAUAUAUAUAUAUAUAUAUACACAUAUACGACAGGCUUCUUUCAGUUUCCGUCUACCAAAUCCACUGGUCGGCCCGAGGUUAUAGCAGAAGACACUUGCCCAAGAUGCCACGCAAUGGGAAUGAACCCGGAACCAUGUGGUUGGUAAGGAAGCUACUUACCACACAGCCACUCCUGCGCCUCUCUCUCUCUCUCUCUCUCUCUCUAUAUAUAUAUAUAUAUAUAUAUAUAUAUAUAUAUACAUGUGUUUUUUAAAGCUGCAAAAACCUCAGAACUGCUACUCAGACUUUCACUGUCCCGUUCGUCGGGCAGUUGUGAUCAAGAGUGUAUAUAUAUAUAUAUAUAUAUAUAUAUAUAUAUAUAUAUAAAUGAGGUAGUUUAUUUCCAUAUAUGUAUAAUCAGCCGAAAUUGCGAGGAUAAUCUGGUGCUUGACUGAGGAUAGAGGGCUUCGAAUGACCCGUCCUUGUUUUCUUUAUAUCGUCUAUCUGGAUGUUUUUUGUUCCUUUUUGUAUCACCUAGUCGUCUGAUGUUUUGCGUUCUUGUCCCAUUUUGUAUAUAUAUAUAUAUAUAUAUAUAUAUAUAUAUAUAUAUAUAUAUAUAUAUGUAUGUAUGUAUGUAUGUGUGUAUGUAUAUAUAUAUAUUAAAAUAGUGUGCAUUUAAACACAAAAGAAAAUUACCCUUUAACAGGUAAUUUUUACAUGCUAGAAAUAGCAGCCAACACGACCAAAACCACAAUUUUAUAGCAAUUUUCGAAGUAAUUGAAAACUAAAAACUUUAUAUAUAUAUAUAUAUAUAUAUAUGCAGUGGCGGACUGGUCAGCUUGCCAGCUUGCCCGAUGGCAAGUGGGCUCAUGUUAGUAUCUAAGGGGCCCAUUCCCUCAAGUUUGAUAAUUUUUUAUUCACUCCUGGAAGAAUGCAUGAAUUAUUUCAGCCUGGCUGUGUUUGUGUGUUUGUAGACAGUUGAAAAGAAUACUUUUAACAAAAAAGAAACUAAGAAUUAAAUGAUAGCAUUGUAGUUGUGGGUGGGCGCCCUUAGUGUCCUGGCAAUCAAUAUUUUUAGACCCAGUCCGUAGCGCGCGCGCGUGUGUGUGUAUAUAUAUAUACAUACGCGUGCGCACAAAUAUAAAUGUAUUUGUACAUGGGUGCAUGUAUCUAUAAACAUCGGUAUAGAAUACUAAGUAUAUAUUAUGUAUGUAUGUAUGUAUGUAUGUAUGUAUGUAUGUAUGUAUCUAUCUAUCUAUCUAUACAUACAUACUUAAUAUAUGUAUAAUAUAAUAUAUAUAUAUAUACAUAUGUAUCCAUUACAUAUAUAUAAUAUAUAUACAAUAUAUAUAUAUAUAUGCAAUAUAUAUAUAUAGAAUAUUUAUAUGUAUAUAUAUAUAUAUAUAUAUAUAUAAACACACAGUAUAUAUAUAACUAUAUAUAGGCUGUCUCUGUCUCUCUCUCUCUUUGUAUCUAUCUAUCUAUGUAUCUAUCUAACUAUACAUACACAUACAUACAUAAUAUAUAUAAUAUAAUAUGUAUAUGUUAUAUAUAUAUAUAUAUAUAUAUGUAUAAUUACAUAUAUAUAAUAUAUAUAUACAUAUAUAUACAAUAUAUAUAUAUGCAAUAUAUAUAUAUAUACACAAUAUAUAUAUAUAUGUAUAUACAAUGUAUGUAUAUAUAUAUAUACGCACACACAAUAUAUAUAUAACUCUCUCUCUCUCUCUUUGUAUCUAUCUAUCUAUCUAUCUAUCUAUCUAUCUAUCUAUCUAUCAUAGAUAGAUAGAUAGAUAGAUAGAUAGAUAGAUAGAUAGAUAGAUAGAUAGAUAGAUAUACACAUUCUAUAAUAUCUAAGAAAUAUGCAUUAUAUAUAUCCAAGAUACAAGUCGAUCUCCUGAUGUCCAAGGUCCCUAAUGAACCAUCGAACUCCAUGAUUCACCAAAAGCCAAUCACAAAAAUAUGGCUACUGAAAUGGUGAUAACACUCACGGUGCCCAGAAUAGUCGCAGCCUUUGGACUGAAGCGUAUAAAAACGUAAAAGAAAGAAUAUACAUACAUACAUACAUACAUACAUACAUACAUACAUACAUACAUACAUACAUACAUACAUACAUACAUACAUACAUACAUACAUACAUACAUACAUACAUACAUACAUACAUACAUACACACACACACACGCACACAUACAUACAUGUGUGCAUAAAUACUAAAUAUAUAGUUGUAUGUAUGUAUGUAUGUAUGUAUGUAUGCAUCCAUAUAUAUACAUUGGUAUAUGAUAUAAUAUAUAUUAUAUGCAAUCGUAAUUGAUAUAUGUAUGUGCAUUGUCAUCACUUUCAUUUGAGAUGGUGCUAUAGAAAAUGUAAAUAUAUAUAUGUAUAUAUAUAUACGCUUUUCCAUGCAAGGCUGGGAAAGUGCUCGCUUUCCUAUGUUUGUAUGAGUCAGACGGAAUUCCGAUAAGAUAGACUUGCUAUCACCGAAUGGCUUUGUUCUCGCCAACUACCACCUGUUUGCAAGCAGGGUGCUUAUUCUCUCAUCAUCCGGACAUGUUUGCACGUAUGUCUGGGUGACUGACUGUUUUCAGAGAAAGGGACAAACACGCAAUGAACACUUUGCACACGUGGACAUCUCAUAUGCGCGUGCGCGCACAAACACGUUCAACACACGUGUGAGUAUAUACACACACUCGCACACACACACAGACACACACAUGCACUUAUAUAUCUCUUUGCUACCCACAAGGGGCUAAACACAGAGGGGACAAACAAGGACAGACAAAGGGAUUAAGUCGAUUACAUCGACCCCCAGUGCGUAACUGGUACUUAAUUUAUCGACCCCGAAAGGAUGAAAGGCAAAGUCGACCGCGGCGGAAUUUGAACCCAGAACGUAACGGCAGACUAAAUACGGCUACGCAUUUCGCCCGGCGUGCUAACGUUUCUGCCAGCUCGCCGCCUUUACAUACACUUACACAUACACACGACGGGUUUGCAGUUCACCCCCUAUCAAAUUCUCUCGCCAGGUACUGGUCAGUCCAAGCUAUAGUAUAAGCUACUUGGCCAAGAAACUGCACCGUAAAACUGAACCCGAAACCGCAUGCAGGCAUGACCGAGUAGUUAUGGAACUUAGUUUGCAACCGUCUUCAGUCUCACUGCGCUGCUCUUUGGGUAAGUGUCAUGAGUGGAGGCACAUGGCCUAGUGGUCAGAGCAGCUGACUCACGGUCGAGGGAUAGCGGGUUCGAAUCUCAGACCAGGCGAUGUGUGUGUUUAUGAGCAAAACACCUAAGCUCCACGCGGCUCCGGCAGAAGGUAAUGGCAAACUUCUGCUGACACUUUCGCUACAACUUUCUCUCACUCUUUCCUCCUACACCUUGCAGUUCACCUGCGACGGACCGGCGCCCCGUCCAGGUGGGGAACCCAUACACCAAAGAAACCGGGAAACCGGCCCUUAUGAGCCAGACAUGGCUCGAGAAGGAACAAAGUGUCAUGAGAGUGAAUUUGGUAGACGGACACAGAAAGCUCCUUGCGCAAAUGUAUGCAAGUAUGUAUUUCUGUAGGUGUUGGUGCCCCACAGGUGCUCGACAACAGGUUGUGGUUGGUUUACAUCUCCGUAACUUACCAUUUUGGUAUGAGAACGAUAGAAUAAGUACUAGUAACUUAUUGCAUACUUACACAAGUGUGUGGCCCACACCCAACUUUGUUUCUUCGUAACUUUCAGAAAAAAAAUCAUUAUUUUUAAUGAAUUUUUUUACAGGCGCAGAUUUUUUUACAGGCGCAGGAGUGACUGUGUGGUAAGUAGCUUGUUUACCAACCACAUGGUUCCGGGUUCAGUCCCACUGCGUAGCAUCUUGGGCAAAUGUCUUCUACUAUAGCCUCGGGCUGACCAAUGCCUUGUGAGUGGAUUUGGUAGACGGAAACUGAAAGAAGCCUGUCGUAUAUAUGUAUAUAUAUAUAUAUGUAAAUGUAUGUGUGUAUAUGUUUGUGUGUCUGUGUUUGUCCCCCUAGCAUUGCUUGACAACCGAUGCUGGUGUGUUUAUGUCCCCGUUACUUAGCGGUUCGGCAAAAGAGACCGAUAGAAUAAGUACAGGGCUUACAAAAAAAAAAAAAGAAUAAGUCCCGGGGUCGAAUUGCUCGAUUAAAAGCGGUGCUCCAGCAUGGCCACAGUCAAAUGACUGAAACAAGUAAAGAGUAUACCUUUCAGGUAGUGUGGGUUACGAUUACAUCGAAAUUUAAUGUCUAAAAAUGUAAAAUAAAAAGCGGUGAGCGCGCACAUCACAUCACAUAUUUGUCUACAAAAUGAAACUUGAAAUUUUGUAAAACUUGUGUGAUGUGUAUCAGUGUGUAUUUUUGCACGCCCUGUUCUUAAUUUUUCCACGUUAAAUUCCGAUUUGAUUGUAAUGUACACCAUCUUAAAGUUAUUAGUAGAAAAUUUAACUACAGAAAUACCCGUUUUUCUGGAAGUUAUGAAGUCGAUUUCUAUGGAUUACUCGAAACUCCUCUCCCCGCCGCUCCACGAAUUUUUUUUCACAAGAUAUCUUCUUUAUAUAUAAAAGUGAGGUUGUGUCGUGUCUGUCUCCUACGAUUUAGAUUCCUAACUACUCCCACAUUUUGCGGUGCAGUUUAACCAAAACCGGGUAUCUUAUAGUCGUGAUUCAUAUCGAGCCCUUCUGAGUAUUAGCGCGCGUCUACGAUGAGUCUACGAUUAAAAAAAAAAUUACCAUCAUUUUUUUUCCAUUUUUAAUGCAUUUUUUUGCUAUUUUUUGGCUAUAACUCUCUAAAAAUGCUUAUAUAGUUAUUUCCCUUACAAACCCGAGCAACGCCGGGCGAUACUGCUAGUUCCAAUAUAAUCGUUAACUACAUCAUUUCAAGGAUAUUUGUAAAACAUUUCAUUGAAAAGUAUGUCUUCUCAGAAUUAUGAGAAAACAAAGUCGGUGGUACAAAACUGUGUGGGUAUGCCCUUAGAAAUAAGUCCUGGGUCGACUAAACCCCGCCAAGACGGCGUUCCAGCAUAUCUGCGGUCCAAUGACUGAGGCAAAAAAAAAAAAAAAGAAAAAGAAUAUAAAAUAAGGGCUUCGUUCUCUUCCUGUCAACAAAUCCAUUUGCUAUGAUUUGGACACUGUGUUGAUGUGAGUGUGAGUUCCAUGCGUUGUCAGCAUGGAACAAACUUAAGGGAUUUCACUCGAUUCAUAAACAGUGACAAAAAAAAUUAAAAGUUAUAUAAAAUACUAGCAGUAUCCCCCGGCGUUUCUCGGGUUUGUAAGGGAAAUAACUAUAUAAGCAUUUUUAGAGAUGUAAAGUAUAAUAGCAAAAAAUCAUUAAAAAUGGCUAAAAAAAAUGAUGGUAACUGUUUUUUUUAAAUCGUUCUGAGAUUUAAUAAUAGACAUUUUUAGAGAGUUACUUCCCUUAUAUAAUAGCCAAAAAUGCAUUAAAAUGGAAAAAAUGAUAAAUUUUUUUUAAAUUAAUCGUAGACGCGCGCUAUUACCCAGAAGGGCUCGAUAUGAAUCACGACUAUAAGAUACCCGGUUUUGGUUAAACUGCACCGCAAAAUGUAGGUGUAGUUUGGAAUCUAAAUCGUAGGAGACAGACAGCAAACAACCUCACUUUUAUAUAUAAAGAUUUGUUUUGAUUGUUGUUAUUUUUAUGUAUGCAUACGCAUUCGUUUGCGCAUAUAUACAUAUUGAAUUUACGCCAACACACACACACACACACACAUCGUUUGUAGAGAAACAUAUAUCCGGAUAAGAAGCACACUCUAAGAUGUAGAGCAGUUAAUAUUAUAAUAGAGGAGGCCGGUCUAUGGGGUUACCCUGGGUUUCCAGCCCAUAAAGAGUUUGGCCUUACGGCGUAUCGUCAGACCCCAAAUCUGUUGACCUAAGACCGCUUCAAAAAUCUUCUCUUUCUCUCUCUGUGCAUAUAGAUAUACAGAUUUAUAAAUGAGGGUGAAAAAUUUGAUAUUAAUUUAAUAAUACCAUCAAUUUAACACCAAGUGGCUUAGCACAUAAAACUAGGGAGAUAAUACAAAUUUAUACAUAAAUUAUAAGAGAGUUACCACUAUGUGGAUAGCUCUAGUGCUAAAAAUAGCUCCGUUACUAGUAUAGCCACAGGAAGAUAUUUCCAAGAAGAAAUAACACUACAUUUAACGGAAGGAAAGUGAAAUAUAACGAAAAAAUAGAUUGACCCUGAACAAUUGUUUCAUUACUAAUGUAAUAUGUAAUUUUACUUACAUAGACAUCUAUAAAUCAUCGGCAGAGGUUUGUCUUAAAUACAAUUUAUUAGACCCUCACGAGCAUCAUUUAGUACAUGUAGAUCGACAAACACGUGUAUAUGUGCAUACGCACUCAUAUUUAGAAACACGGGUGCGUGUAUAAGUUAAUGUAAGAGUGUAAAAUAUAUUGAUUUCAAAUUUUGGCACAAGGCCAGCAAUUUUGGGGGAUAAUGUAAGACGAUUACAUCAACCCCAGGACUUAAAUGGUACUUAUUUUAUCGAGUCCGAAAGGAUGAAAGGCAAAGUCAACCUCGGCGGAAUUUGAACUCUGAGCAUUAAGACGGACGAAAGGCCGCUAAAAACUUUUGCCCGGACUGCUAUCGAUUCUGCCAGCUCGCCGCCAUAGAGUUGAAAAAACAUAUUGAAGAUAAUAUUUUAUCUACUUGAAACAUUAUCUCGUGUGUUCGUUAUACUGGAAGUUAACAGCCGACUCUGUUUCGUCCCAGGCUAGGUUGCUAAAGAUAGCCGGGAACUGUCAAGCCUAUGCCAAGAUUGCCAGCUGACUGUCAAAUUUUGCUUAUACAUAUUUCUUUGCUACCCUCAAGGGGCGAAACACAGAGAUGACAAACAAGGAGAGACACACGGAUUAAGUCGAUUACAUUCACCCCAGUGCGUAACUGGUACUUAAUUUAUCGACCCCAAAAGGAUGAAAGGCAAAGCCGACGUCGGCGAAAUUUGAACUCAGAACGUAACGGCAGACGAAAUACCUAUUUCUUUACUACCCACAAGGGGCUAAACACAGAGAGGACAAACAGGGACAGACAAACGGAUUAAGUCGAUCAUAUCGACCCUGGUGCGUAACUGGUACUUAUUUAAUCGACCCCGAAAGGAUGAAAGGCAAAGUCGACCUCGGCGGAAUUUGAACUCAGAACGUAACGGCAGACGAAAUACCACUACGCAUUUCACCCGGCGUGCUAACGUUUCUGCCAGCUCACCGCCUUCGUCCCAGGCUAGGUUGCUAAAGGUAGCAGGUAACUGUCAAGCCUAUGCCAAGAUAGCCAGCUGACUGUCAAAUUUUGCUUAUAUCGAUAUGGGCGAAAGCCUGGCAGUAUGUUUAGGAUUCGCGCAUGGCAACCACGUAGUUUCGGUUUCAGUGACACCAAGCGACACAUUCGGCAAGUGUCUUACGCAAUACCCCUUGGUCGACCGUUGACGUGUGAGUGAAUUAGGAAAAGAGAAAUAUGUAGAAGCCUAUAUUUCAUGUAUCUGCUAUGUGUGUGUGUGUUUGUGGGUCCCUCCACAGCUUCACACCCAAUGUUGGUUUGGUUACAUCGUCGAAAUUUACCGGUACAGGAAAACGGACCAAUAGAUUACGUACCAAGUUUCAAGCGAAGUUUUUUGGUAGAAAACAUGAACUAAACCAGUCGAGGCAUUAUAUGUAUAAAUAUACAUAUAUAUGAUACACAUAUAGAACGAAUAUAUGAUAUAAAUCAUGUAUAUAUUUAUACAUAUAUAUAUAUAGUUUUAUCUUAUAUGUAUCCCAAAAUUAUUAGACAUGUAAAUCAUAUAUAUAUAUAUAUAUAUAUAUAUAUAUAUAUAUAUAUAUAUAUAUUACUUCUUUCUAAGAGGUUUUCUAUAGCUUGUAGAAAUUGACUAUGAUGCUACUACACCAAUUAUAGGGUACAAUACCUUCCUGUACAACCUAUUUAACUGUAUAUGUAACUAGGCUGUAUUCAUCACCACCAGAUAUUUUAAGUAUUUCAAGAAUAAUUACUGAUGGACCAGGAGCUUUUCAAGUCUUCAUAUUCUUAAUCGCUUUAUCUAUAACAUUCCUGUCAACAAGCUGGACUCUCUGUCAAGUUUAUGUUAGGAAGACUCUCUCAUGCCUGCUUGUGAAAUUAAGGUGCUUCUUGAGAACAUAUACCCCAACUCCAUGCUGAUUGCUCAGGCUUUUUUGCAAGAUAGCUGUGGACCUUUGUGAACCUUUGUAAGCUGUGGGCCUUUGAGUCCCAAGUGAAUAUUCAGUUAUUAUUUUUAUUUAUUAUUUGUAUUUCUAUUCAUUUGUACAUGUUAAGUAAGAGUAUAUUGAAGAUAUAGAGUAUCAUGGAAGUAUAUAAGAGGUAGAGGUAGUGAAAAAUGUUGAGGAAUCCAGACCUGAAGAUUGGGAGUAUGUCGACCCAAGUAAGUAUUGAAACUAGAUACCUUGUAUCUAAUCAAUACCAACGUACUUUCAUGAAACACGUGUAGGCUUAUAAACGGAAAAUACAGGAUUCAGAAUAAAUAUAGUUAGUAUAGGAUUCAAUUUUUAAUAUUUUAUGGAGUAGUUGGGUAUAAAAUAUUUCAGUGUUGAUUGAGUUGACGGUGGUCCUGUCUCUAAAAUUACUUUUAUAUAUACAUAUAUAUAUACACAAACACACACACAUUCACACACAAACACACAUAUAUACAUAUAUAUGUAUAUACAUACAUUAUAUAUAUAUAAAUAGAUAUAUGUAUAUAUAUAUGUGUGUAUAUGUAUGUGUAUAUAGAUAUGUGUAUACAUAUAUAUAUGUAUAUAUAUAUGUGUGUGUGUAUAUAAAUAUACAUGUGUAUAAAUAUGUGUGUACAUAUAUAUAUAUAUACAUAUGCAUAUUUCAUUAAGACAUAAUAAUUAAGAAUGGAGAGUUACACAUCUUAAAAAUUAAUUUAAUGCAAAUAAUUCUUCUCUUUCUAAAUGAUUCUAUGCAUAUACCCAUGCAGUGUUUCCAGAAGUCAGUUUCACCAUGAUGGACAGGGGUUCAUGAGAUACUUAUAUUGCCAGACACCUUAGCCCUUUGUUAUAUCUUCUGUGGGGCUCAAGGUUCUAUGGUUACCUUUCACUACUUCAUCCCAUGUCUUCUGUGUCUUCCUCAUCUACAGCUUCUCUUUGCAUAUCAUAUAUGAUACACACACACACACACACACACACAUAUAUAUAUAUAUAUAUAUAUAUACUGUCGAAUGAAGUGACCCUAGUACUUUUUUCUUUCAAGUCUAGUACUUAUUCCGUCAGUCUCUUUUGCGAAACUGCUAAUUUACGGGGAUAUAAACAAACCAACACCAGUUGUCAACCAUUGGUGGGGUACAAACACAGACACAGAGGCACAUACACACACACAUAUACAUGUAUAUAUAUUGAUGACUUCAGCAAUGCAACUACAAGCAUGCUGUUAUUGACCUCUUUUCCUUGUUUGAACUUUUCCUUUUCUCCUUUCCGACAAAGAGCUAUGCUCAAUAUGUCAAACUCUCUCCUUUCACCAAACAUCAAGCUAAUGCAUUUCUUUUGCAUAUCCUCAUGUUGUCUGUUUUUAUUCAUUUAUUCAAUUGUUUGUUUAUUAUAUAAGUUGACUACAUAGACCGGGUGCCAUGAAAAUAUUGCCGUCUAAAUUACACAGGAAUGCAAAUAACACUGAUAUCUCAUUUUAACAGAUAUAUUCACCAAAAUUACAUAAAAAUAUGUUGAAAAUCGCCAUUGGCUUCAAUCAUGGCCUCUAGAAUCUCCAGGAAUCUCCUGAAACUCUUCAGAAUCUCCUGUAUCUCUUUUGGACAGUCUCCUUGUUUAAGUUAAUCAAUGUUGCUAUAAUCCUUGCUUUCAGUUCAUCUUUGGUGUAACAAGGAGUUUUGUCGGUCUCUCACUUAACUGUGCCCCACACAUACUAAUCAAGGGGGUUGCAGUCUGGGGAGUUAGGUGGCCAGAUGUUAGGGGUGGUGUGGUCACAGGAAUUGUCUGACACCCAUGACUGGGUUCUUCUGCUUGUGCGGCAUGGUACAGAGUCCUGUUGUCAAACAUAGGGUCUUCCAGCAGCCACCCUCUUGACCCAGGGCAGCACUAUAUCCUUCAGGCACUUAAUGUAGGCCUCCUUGUUGAGUUUGAGGUCGUGUAGGAAGAUGAAUGGAGGCUUAACGUUGCCAUCACUUGUGAUCACUCCAAACGCCAUGAUGUUGAGUGGAUAUUUGAUUUUUAUCACUCUCUGUACAUUUCCUCAGAUUGACACCCAAACACUCUGAAAUGUUCGUAUUGGAGCUUCUGGCAUGAAUGCCUAGCAGUACGGCAUGUCAUUCCCAAAUUUCUGGCAGAAUGAAUUGUGUCCUGGUGCUGAUUUUCUCACCAUACUAUACUGUGUAGUUGACAAAAUUCAAAACAAACAACGCGCAUGCACGAAAUUAAGAAUAUAAAAUUGUAACAAUUUACCCAUUGCAACCUGUGUGUAUAUAUAUAUAUAUAUAUAUCACUUUGAUCACUUUGACCGACCAGUCCGUCAGGCGUCCAUUUGACACUGCUGGUCACAGCACGCUGUCCACUCCUCUCUGGAUCGCGCCUUUCUCAUCCACGUGAUCCCAAUCGUCCUCCUGAAAUUUUCACUCCAUCGUCGUGGAGGUCUUCCGCGUGGUCUUUUCCGCUCGCGCGGGUACCACUCGAAAACUGCGUGCGUCCACCGAUUAUCGGUGAGCCGGGCGACGUGUCCAGCCCAUCUAUACUUGCUGCGUGUAUACUCUGCGAUGACAUCUCUCACGCCGGACUUCUUUCUGAUGAUCUUGCUACUUAUGUGCUCUCACAACGAGAUACCAAGCAUUGACCUUUCCAUGGCUCUUUGAGCCGUUACCAGUCUUUGCUCUUCUCUCUUUGUGGUAGCCCAUGUUUCACUACCAUAUAACAUUGCAGGCAGAACUGCACUGUUAAUGAGGUUGGCGCGGGUGGUCCUGUCCAACCUUCCCUUGAGCACAUCCCUUAUGCCAUUGAACGCCUUCCAUCCGGCCCUUACUCUCCGUGAGAUCUCCUUUUUGAUAUCCCGGCACAUAUUUACUUCCUGUCCCAGGUAGACGUAUUCUCUCACCUCCUCUAUUUCAUCACUGCCGAUCACCAUUCGACCUGUUGGUACAUUGUCUGACCGCAUGAACUUUGUUUUCAUGCGGUUCAUCUUGAGACCUACUGCAGAACUUUUGAUGUCAGCAUGGUCUGAAGCUGAUCCAUGUUUUCAGCGAUGAGUACGAUGUCGUCAGCGAAACGGAGGUGAGUGAGGAGCUCGCCAUUGAUGUUGACACCACCUUGCCAUUCGAUGCCUCUGAUGAUCUGUUCGAGACAUGCAGUGAAAAGUUUUGGGGAGAUUGUAUCUCCUUGCUUCACUCCCUUCUCAACCGGCACUCGUAUGGGUGAUGACAGUAGAGCUAUGUCUGUGGUGCAUCCGGAAUUUGCCUCUCUGAGCAGCUGCACAUAUUGCGCUUCGAUUCCUUGCCUCUCGGCUCGAUGAAAAACGGAAAGGCUCCGGGGAAAGACGGUAUAACAUCGGAGGUGCUAAAGUCAGACAGAGAGCAGCUCUGGAAAAUCCUCGCUGAGCGAUUUACGCACUAUCUAGACGAGGGAAGAAUUCCCUCGCAGUGGAAAGAGUCAAAUACCAUCCUGCUGUAUAAGAAGGGUGACAGAGAAGAUCUAAAGACCUACCGACCCAUAUGCCUGCUGUCUCACGUGUACAAGCUGUUCACGAAGAUAAUUCUGAACAGGUUGUCAAGUCGUCUCGACGAACAACAACCGAGGGAGCAAGCAGGCUUCCGGAAGAACUACAGCACAAUGGACCAUAUAUUUGCCCAAACGCAACUGCUUGAGCGAGCAAAUGAGUACAAGCUGCCUCUUUGCGUUGCGUUCAUAGAUUAUGAGAAGGCCUUCGAUAGCGUCGAAACCAACGCAGUGCUGAACUCGCUGCAGAGGCAAGGAAUCGAAGCGCAAAAUAUAUAUAUAUAUAUAUAUAUAUAUAUAUAUAUAUAUAUAUGUAUGUAUAUGAUUAAAGAUGUUAGAACACCUACAAUGCUAGAAAUAAGGGCUAAAGUGCUCUGUGACAGUUUAGCUCUUAUUUCUAGCAUUGUAGACCUUCUACACCUUCUAUCAUAUUUAAUGACAAUUAUAGUUUUUAUUUUUGGUGGUACAUUACUAAACAGCUGCCUAAUUUAAUCUCUUAUAUAAAAUCCGUUGUGUGUGUGUGUGUCUUCUAGGAUCUCAGGCAUCCUCCAUCCGAUUGCACUCAAAGUUGAUAUGUAGAUACUGAUGGUAUCAGGGCGUGUAUAAGUCUUGAAAAAAUUACAACAAUCAAUUCCAGGUGAGAAUGCGAUUGAUAAAGCCAUGGGAACGUGCAUUUGUACACGUAAGUACAUCAGCACCGUCCAUUGGAUGGUGGGGGGCGUUUUGCUCGUUAUAUAUAUAUAUGAUGGACCUCUCUCGGUUUCCAUCUACCACAUCCACUCAAAAGGCUUUGGUUGGCCCGAGGCUAUAGUAGAAAACACUUGCU
rnacentral:lncRNA from 1 species